CUGUAUGAUGAAAAACAGGGGAGGCUGCACCGGAUUGAGCAGAGAAAGACGUUGUAAACGACCGCCCAGAGCUGUCAGGAA